CAGCAGUGGGGGAAUAUUGCACAAUGGGCGCAAGCCUGAUGCAGCCAUGCCGCGUGUAUGAAGAAGGCCUUCGGGUUGUAAAGUACUUUCAGCAGUGAGGAAGGCAGGUACGUUAAUAGCGUGCUUGUUUGACGUUAGCUGCAGAAGAAGCACCGGCUAACUCCGUGCCAGCAGCCGCGGUAAUACGGAGGGUGCGAGCGUUAAUCGGAAUUACUGGGCGUAAAGCGCAUGCAGGUGGUUUGUUAAGUCAGAUGUGAAAGCCCGGGGCGUCAACCUCGGAAUUGCAUUUGAAACUAGGCAGACUAGAGUACUGUAGAGGGGGGUAGGAAUUUCAGGUGUAGCGGUGAAAUGCGUAGAGAUCUGAAGGAAUACCGGUGGCGAAGGCGGCCCCCUGGACAGAUACUGACACUCAGAUGCGAAAGCGUGGGGAGCAAACAGGAUUAGAUACCCUGGUAG
rnacentral:rRNA from 1 species